rnacentral:rRNA from 1 species
UACGAAGGGUGCAAGCGUUAUCCGGAUUCACUGGGUUUAAAGGGUGCGUAGGUGGGCAGGUAAGUCAGUGGUGAAAUCUCCGGGCUUAACUCGGAAACUGCCAUUGAUACUAUCUGUCUUGAAUACCGUGGAGGUUAGCGGAAUAUGUCAUGUAGCGGUGAAAUGCUUAGAUAUGACAUAGAACACCAAUUGCGAAGGCAGCUGGCUACACGAAUAUUGACACUGAUGCACGAAAGCGUGGGGAUCAAACAGG